CGCUCUACCCGACGGCGCCGCGCUCAGAGGAAGGUGAGGCGCUGGGCUCGGGCCGAGCCGGGGCCCCUGUCCCCGCCCCCGCCGCGAGGGUGCCCUAGAGCCCCCGUGGACUCGGGGUGUUGCUGCCGGCGCGUCGCGCCAGGGCGGAGUCCGGGGCCAGCGACUGAGAACUGGAUACUUGUCCAUGGGCUUCUGGUGUCCUGUUCAGAAGGCUUCUGAGGUCAAACGCUUUUCAGACUCAGACUCACUAUGAUGUGGGAUUCCAGGGCAAGGCAGUUUUGAAGAAACAAGCUUACAGGCUUAGUUCAUCUGAAGCAGAGGGAAAAUCCCCAACCCCGUCUAACACACAAACUCGGCCCUGGACAACUCCAGAAUGUCUCCGAAGAGCCCCAACUGGCCCCGUCAGGCCCUCUUACCCAGGGCUCGGCUCCCUUGUCCCCAAGAAUUAUAGGCCCAGUUGUACAUAUGACCUGAAGGCGCUGGGGAUGCUCCCGGCUCAGCUUCUCCGACCCUUCCCAACGCUGCGGAGACAAAUCACGCACUCUGCCGUCUCUUCUACCUCCCUCUCCUUCUCUCAAAUUUGUCUCCUUUUUUUCUAAUGAUCCCCAACAGCGUGACUUGUUAUCUGUAUGUAACAGAUAACUCUGCCUGGUUGCAAUGACUCCACGAUCAUUUCUCGGAAGUCUCUGUCCUUCA